CCUUUCCGUUAGGUGAACCUGCUGUAAGGAUCAUUACCGAGUGCGGGCCCUCGCGGCCCAACCUCCCACCCUUGUCUCUCUACCCCUGUUGCUUUGCGGGCCCACCGGGUCCACCUGGUCGCCGGGGGUACGCACGUCCCCGGGCCCGCGCCCGUCCGAAGCGCUCUGUGAAUCCCUGAUGAAGAUGGGCUGUCUGAGUACGAUGAAAAUUGUCAAAACUUUCAACAAUGGAUCUCUUGGUUCCGGCAUCGAUGAAGAACGCAGCGAAAUGCGAUAAGUAAUGUGAAUUGCAGAAUUCCGUGAAUCAUCGAAUCUUUGAACGCACAUUGCGCCCCCUGGCAUUCCGGGGGGCAUGCCUGUCCGAGCGUCAUUUCUGCCCUCAAGCACGGCUUGUGUGUUGGGUGUGGUCCCCCCGGGGACCUGCCCGAAAGGCAGCGGCGACGUCCGUCUGGUCCUCGAGCGUAUGGGGCUCUGUCACUCGCUCGGGAAGACCUGCGGGGGUUGUCACCACCAUAUUUACCCGUGACUCGAUGCAGUAGAGUACCCCUGAU
rnacentral:rRNA from 1 species